AGUCCCUGGUCCUCGUCAGGGAACCCCCUGCUACCCCCUGCAGGACCUCCGCCCACCCAGCUCGACUCGACUCGACUCGACACGACUCGACACGGCAGCAGCACGGGUCGUUUUCCACCGCAAAUAGUACCUCCUGGACGUGGGCGGGGUCGGCUGCGCGAAAGGGCCGUGACGUAUUUUUGAGUCCACCAGAUCUGACCACAGCUUUACCAGCCCUCUGGCCCCUGAAGUACCCCCCUCCAGCCCUCUGGCCCCUACAAUAACCCCCACCAGCCCUCCGGCCCCUACAAUACCCCCCUCCAGCCCUCUGGCCCCUGAAGUACCCCCCUCCAGCCCUCUGGCCCCUGAAGUACCCCCUCCAGCCCUCUGGCCCCUACAGUACCCCCUCCAGCCCUCUGGCCCCUACAGUACCCCCCCCUUCAGCCCUCUGGCCCC
ensembl:lncRNA